AAAUCGAGAACUAACAAAAACAAGGAUGAUGCAGGCUCUAAGAGAGGAGCUAGCAUCUGCUGAGCGAAGAGCAGAAGAGGAGUGCGCUGCACAUAAUGCUACCAAAAUGACUGCGAUGGAAAGAGAAGUAGAAUUGGAGCACAGAGCAGUUGAGUCAUCCACUGCACUUGCAAGGAUACAGGUAAUGUAAGCACUUGCUAUGGUUUAAUUUUUAAAUGGGAUGCAAAUCAUAUUAAAGCACUGUUUUCUGUUUGGAUUUUUCCAUAUGUCAUUAGUUUAUUGUUUAUAUCAUAAUUGAAUUGACAACAUUGUGGUA